UACGUAGGGUGCGAGCGUUAAUCGGAAUUACUGGGCGUAAAGCGUGCGCAGGCGGUGGCUCAAGCCAGGCGUGAAAUCCCCGGGCUUAACCUGGGAAUGGCGUUUGGGACUGGGUUGCUAGAGUAUGGCAGAGGGAGGUGGAAUUCCACGUGUAGCAGUGAAAUGCGUAGAGAUGUGGAGGAACACCGAUGGCGAAGGCAGCCUCCUGGGCCAGCACUGACGCUCAUGCACGAAAGCGUGGGGAGCAAACAGG
rnacentral:rRNA from 1 species